ACCCUUUUGUAGUUCAUAAGCGUAAUGAUUGGGUUGUGCUCAUCUGUGACACGUGCCUCUCUCAAACCUUGUUUGAUGCAAGCACAUUACCUGUUGGAAA